UACGAAGGGGGCUAGCGUUGUUCGGAUUUACUGGGCGUAAAGCGCACGUAGGCGGAUCGUUAAGUCGGGGGUGAAAUCCUGGAGCUCAACUCCAGAACUGCCUUCGAUACUGGCGAUCUAGAGUCCGGAAGAGGUGAGUGGAACUCCUAGUGUAGAGGUGGAAUUCGUAGAUAUUCGCAAGAACACCAGUGGCGAAGGCGGCUCACUGGUCCGGUACUGACGCUGAGGUGCGAAAGCGUGGGGAGCAAACAGG
rnacentral:rRNA from 1 species